UCUGUGGAGCUGAGUGCAGAAAGGGACCGCGUCCACCACAGGAGAAGCUGUAGUUUUAAUUCCACCCAAUAAUGCUAUCUGCUUUGCAGUAGGAAGCUUUUAGACUGUUGUCUACAUUUCUCUUACCAUGGACUUCAGCUGAACCAGUCAAGAUACAAAGAUAAGCUAUCGUGAUAGAAAGAUGGCCUAAGAAACUGAGGAAACAGCUGCUUUUGGAGAAGUCUUUCAGUCUACAAUGCGUCAGUACUUCAGGUGCCUUCUGCAUGCCUCAAAGUACCUCAAACUUCAGUGCACUUGAAAGCACCCUUAGAGCAUAGUGAUACACGGUGUUCUGGGCGACCUGGAAACAUAAACAUUACAAAGCACCAGCAACCAUCUAUAACAUCAGUGAACUGCAACAAGAAAAGGUAGGAGGAAAUUAAACUGUGAGACAUAGACCUUAGGAAGCAAGUUCUUAGACUGAUGUGAUAUGUAAAAAGAAAGUGGAGCAGAUGUACCCCAUGUCAGAAUUAUUAACAUAGAGUUGACAUUAAUACCUUGAAGUAAUGUUGGUAAGUAGCCUGUUAAUGUGUCACAUCACCCAAAGUAUUUAUUAUGUUAUCUUCAGUGGAGGUUAAAGAGAGUUAGAUGUCCUUGCUGUAUAGAUGGAGAUGUAAGACUGACUGCUGCAGGCUGUUAUUUUAGCUGCUUUUUUGAGGAGUGGCUUGCUUGUUUUUGCCAUGUGAUGUGAGUCAUUGGGUACACAUAAGUUCUCUACUGACUCUUCUUCUGAAGCAGUCCGUUAUAGUUCUGUGCAAUAUUGUGAUGUUCAUUAAUACUGGAGAAUGUGAUUAACAACAGUAGGAAAUAACUAUUUCUGCUUUAUGAAGGAGGCAACUGAAGCACAGGCCAAACGUUGCCCAAAGUUACUUAGUGGCAAUGCUUUGAAGAAGACAGAUAAGUCUUGACUGAAUUCAUUUCAACAAAUCGCAGAAGUUGCUACUGUACAUCCCUAUUCCUUGUACAUUCCUAUUUCCUUAUACAACUUGACUGCAAUAUAAAGGUUGCUCUGAAGACCCGCCAUCAUUUUACAUGCUUUUUCAAAUGUUUGCGUCUUCAUA
rnacentral:lncRNA from 1 species